rnacentral:rRNA from 1 species
CCUACGGGUGGCAGCAGUGAGGAAUAUUCGUCAAUGGGCGGAAGCCUGAACCAGCAAAGUAGCGUGCAGGAUGACGGCCCUACGGGUUGUAAACUGCUUUUAUACGGGAAUAACGCGCCUUACGUGUAGGGCUUUGCAUGUACCGUAUGAAUAAGGACCGGCUAAUUCCGUGCCAGCAGCCGCGGUGAUACGGAAGGGCCGGGCGUUAUCCGGAUUUAUUGGGUUUAAAGGGAGCGUAGGCCGCAUGUCAAGCGUGCUGUGAAAUGUCCGGGCUCAACCCGGGCCUUGCAGCGGGAACUGGAGUGCUUGAGUGCGCGGGAGGCAGGUGGAAUUCGUGGUGUAGCGGUGAAAUGCGUAGAUAUGACGAAGAACCCCGAUGGCGAAGGCAGCUUGCUGCAGCGGAACUGACGCUGAUGCGCGAAAGCGCGGGUAUCGAACAGGAUUAGAUACCCCUGUAGUC